rnacentral:rRNA from 1 species
GCCGCCCGCUUUCUUCUUUCUUAACACAUGCAAGUCGAACGGAAAGGCCCUGCUUUUGUGGGGUGCUCGAGUGGCGAACGGGUGAGUAACACGUGAGUAACCUGCCCUUGACUUUGGGAUAACUUCAGGAAACUGGGGCUAAUACCGGAUAGGAGCUCCUGCUGCAUGGUGGGGGUUGGAAAGUUUCGGCGGUUGGGGAUGGACUCGCGGCUUAUCAGCUUGUUGGUGGGGUAGUGGCUUACCAAGGCUUUGACGGGUAGCCGGCCUGAGAGGGUGACCGGCCACAUUGGGACUGAGAUACGGCCCAGACUCCUACGGGAGGCAGCAGUGGGGAAUAUUGCACAAUGGGCGGAAGCCUGAUGCAGCAACGCCGCGUGCGGGAUGACGGCCUUCGGGUUGUAAACCGCUUUCGCCUGUGACGAAGCGUGAGUGACGGUAAUGGGUAAAGAAGCACCGGCUAACUACGUG